rnacentral:lncRNA from 1 species
CUCUUCAGUCAGCAAAAAUGGCCAUGACAUCUUCCUCCUCAAGCAAUCUACAACCACAGGGUUCAAGUUCUGAAAACUUGGAGUCAUGGUUGAAAUAAGAAAUAGAUUGGCUGGUAGGGCACACAAAUAGAGCAGAGAACUAGUCAUUUGUAGAAGAUAAGUAAAGAGGAGGCAACAGGAAUCUUAUUGCAAGAUCCAGAAUCUGUGUGAAUAUGCAGGAAUGUGGGAGAGUCUCUUAAAAAGCCAACCCAAAAUGGCUAAUGUAAAGCUUCAGAGAUAUGAAAAGCUUCAUAUUACGCACUCCAGACAAGAAUAAAAAUGGACUCUACUCCUCCAAAAUGAAUUCACUGGGGAAUAUUCUACCAUAACCUCUACAAGCAUGAAUUAGCAGGCCUAGUCACUCAUGGCUUUCCUGAUGGGGGUUCUGUGAGAGUGCUGAGCCCGGAUGCCCAAGGCUUCCACUGCGUGUAAUGAAUUAGCUCCCACUACCACACAGCUAUCCUGGAACUAGCUAAGAACCACCCAUGGGAGAACUGGGAGAAUCGUCAUUUGAAUCAUUUCCUGUGUUCUGUGGUUCAGGUGAAGGAUGCAAGAUGAGAAAGAUGAAAUCCUCUAAUAUGGAAAACAGAUUAGCAGUAGGCAGGGAAUGGCAACCAGAGGUAGAAGAUUUUAAAAAUUAAGGGAAAGGUUUGGUGCAGGGAGGCAAGGUGAGAUCAUGGGCUUUGUAUCAACCCAGCUAUGCUACUUACUGUCUACGCCACAUGAGAAAGUGACUUAGCUUCUAUAAAUCUGAACUUCUUCAUCUGUGAAAUAGAAAUAAUGUAGCCUACUUCCUAAUAUCUGUGUAAAGAUUAAACAGGAUAACAUAUAAG